ensembl:lncRNA
CACGGAUACAUUAAUCAGAGGCUGUAAUUACUGAGGAUACUGGUCCCUCUGGAAAAUAAGCAGUGCUCUGAAGGAAGAGAUAAUGGAACAACUUAUAAUCACUAUAUGGUGAGACACAUCCCCUUUAGCAAGGUGGAAAACACCCGGGUACUGCCUUCCGCUCAAAUAUUUCCUGGUUGACUGUUUCUCGGAGCUCCAUCUCAGAGGCUAACUGGUGCAGAAGAUUCUUGAAAGACCCUUCGACAGAAAGAAGAUGAAACCAGUCAAUCUUAAAUGAAAUCAACCCUGAAUACUCAUUGGAAGGACUGAUACUGAAGCCGAAGCUCCAAUACUUUGACUACCUGAUGGAAAGAAGCCAACUCAUUGGAAAAAAACCCUGAUGCUGGAAGAGUGAAGGUGGAAGGAGAAGAGAGCAACAGUGGAUGAGAUGACUUUACACCGUGAGAAGAUGAUACCGUUGCCUAGCGCUUAAGGGUAAGAAAGAACUCUCCCUGCCUGAUGGUCUUCAAGCUGGACAUUGCUUUGCUUUCGUCUUUUCCUCCCUGCCUUCUGACUUGAACUGGAACAUUGACUUUUCUUGGGUUUUUAGCCUGCUGACCUUUGGACUGGAGCUAUACCAUUGUUUCUCCUCGGUCUCCAACUUGCCAAUUGUAAAUCUUGGAAUUUUUAGCCUUCAUAAUUUCACAAGCCAAUUCCUCAACCAGGCAGGAAGGACCAGUCUCUUCCUUUCUCUCUCUCUUUACCAGAUGAAUCAAGUUGAAAGAGUGAAACCAUUUUGAACAAUAAAUAGACCUACACAUAACCCCAUUGUGUCAAUAGUUCUCUGAAACACAUCAAAAACGACUACCUACUUUAGGUUGGUAUCCAAAUCAAGCUCUCAAUAAACACACUCAACUAUUGCCGUCAUUUUGCAAGGACAAAAUAAUGUUAUGGAUGGAAUUAGACAUAGAAACAUUGCUUUCAGACAAAAGAGCAUGAUCUUCUUUACUGAUUAAAUGGUGUUCUCUGUUUUUGACAUGUACAUAUACACGUAUAUUUAUG